rnacentral:misc_RNA from 1 species
GAUGAAGAACGUAGCGAAAUGCGAUACUUGGUGUGAAUUGCAGAAUCCCGUGAACCAUCGAGUCUUUGAACGCAAGUUGCGCCCGAAGCCAUUAGGCCGAGGGCACGACUGCCUGGGCGUCACACGUCGUUGCCCCCCCAUCUACUCCUUCGGGAUUGCGGGGGGCGGAUGAUGGCCUCUCGUGCGCCUCGUCGCGCGGUUGGCCUAAAUGCCAAGUCCUCGGCGACGCACGCCACGACAAUCGGUGGUUGCGAAACCUCGGUUGCCUGUCGUGUGCGGUCGUCGCGCAUCGAGGGCUCGAAAAAAUUGCCGGGCUUCGGCUCGACUUUCAACGCGACCCCAGGUCAGGCGGGGUUACCCGCUGAAUUUAAGCAUAUCAAUAAGCGGAGGA